UGCCCCCGGCCAGGAUCGAACUGGCGACCCUAGCAUAUCUCACAAUCGCUUGGGAGUAUAAGAGCUAUGUGGUAACCACUCCACCACGGGGGC